UCUGAUUGGCUGUUUGCUAACUGCUGUCGUCAUUGGCUGGUACUGGUAGUUGUGUCGAUGUCAGCCGUUAGUAGCUAGCUAACUGUCGGUGUACUAGCUAACUGCGGUUACCAUGAAUGAUGUGAAUUAUCGUCUACAGAACAAGUUUCAAAGUCUGCCUUUUGAAGAAAAACGUGAGGUUAAACACCUCGGUGCCCACCAGCCGCGGGGUAUUGUUACGAACCAAACCUCUGGUGAAAAUGAUCACAUUUAACGGAGUGGUCUCCAGGACAACAUGCUAACUGCUAGCUGAGUCUGCAGAUAGUUCACAUGUCUGUAAUAGCAGAAGGACAAAGAUGACUGAAUGGGGUAGACGUUUUUUAGACAGCAGAGAUUACAGCUGAAGAAAAUGGAAAAAGUGACUCUAAAAAGAGAGCGUUGACCAGUCUCAUCCACGCUGACAGACUGUGAAGAGCAACUUGUUUCCAUCAGCUGGGAACCUCCACCGGUGUCUUUGUGCGUGCGUCUAUCAGCACAGGAGGAGGGUUUCAGGCAUCAUCACUCAGGCAUCCUCUUACUGGGCUCACUGGACUAAAGCCUGGGAACCAGACCAACGAUGACCAUUCUCAUCAGGCAAAUGGACCCAGGUACUCUGAAACUGAAAUCAGAGCCCUGCUUCACAGCGUGGUGUCCAGUAUUUAUAGACAAAAGCUCAGAGAGAAAAAGUACUGAAACGUCUCCGCUGUGCACAUUUUUACAUUUAUUUUUUUUACUGAUGAGAGAGAAAAACCCGUAAUGAGGUGAACCUGGUGGCACUUUGUUUUCUUCAAGUUAUGACUAAUAACUCUACGGUCCACCUGUCUCUGUCUUCCAGCACUUUCACACAUAAACUUUAAAAUAAACACAUUGCAUUUUUUAACAGAAUUAUGGUUUGAACUUUUAAUCUUUAACUACUUUUGUUUUCACACUUUUUCAUCUCAUAAGGGUAAAUUAAGUUUCUGGUCCCUGCAGGUAGUUUUUAUCAGAUCUAAUCUAGAGUCUAAUCAGUGAUAGGUUUAUUAACUCAUGUCUAUAUUUGUCUGAAUCUUCAAAAAUAUGGACAAAGCAGAAUUACACUGCCAAGCAAGAAGUUACCUGUGCAAAGUUUCUGUUUUAAUCGUGUGCAAUAAGUACUUUUUAGCCAUGCUAGUGAUGUGGCUGUGGGGAUGGCAGUGUUGGUCG